rnacentral:lncRNA from 10 species
UAAAAUAAUGCUUUCCGUUCUUACGGUACUUUAUAUUUUUCAGGUGAUUUCAUACAGUAUCCUUCACCAGAAUUUGGUUACACAUUGGGGAGCCACUGCUGGUCUUUUAGAAAUGAGAAAACUGAAUCCACUAGAGUUUCCCACAAGGCACUCGGCAGCAUUGGGAAGAUCUUCGCCCCUCAAUGGGACCUAUCAGGAUGGUCUGCUGCUCGCCUUGGCUUUGAGGUCAUACGCUAAAUGA